rnacentral:rRNA from 1 species
AUACAUGCAGUCGAGUGGGUUCAGACCCACGGCAGACGGGUGAGUAACACGUUGGUACCUGCCCUGAAGUGAGGGAUAACCCCGCGAAAGCGGGGGUAAUACCGCAUAUGUCCUACGGGAUAAAGCUUCGGCGCUUCAGGAGGGGCCUGCGCAAUAUCAGCUAGUUGGUGAGGUAAUGGCUCACCAAGGCUAUGACGUAUAGCUGGUCUGAGAGGAUGAUCAGCCACAAUGGAACUGAGAAACGGUCCAUACUCCUACGGGAGGCAGCAGUAAAGAAUCUUCCGCAAUGGGCUAACGCCUGACGGAGCAACACUGCGUGGAGGAUGAAGGCUUUCGGGUCGUAAACUCCUUUUCUGGGGGAAGAAGUUCUGACGGUACCCCAGGAAUAAGCGACGGCAAACUACGUGCCAGCAGCCGCGGUAAUACGUAGGUCGCAAGCGUUAUCCGGAAUUAUUGGGCGUAAAGCGUCCGUAUGCGGUUUUUUAAGUCCGUGGUUAAAUCCCAGAGCUCAACUCUGGAAUCGUCAUGGAAACUGGAAAACUUGAGGUGUGCAGAGGCAGAUGGAAUUUCGGAAGUAGGGGUAAAAUCCGUAGAUCUCCGAAGGAACACCAAACGCGAAGGCAUUCUGCUGGGCACAAUCUGACGCUGAGGGACGAAAGCGUGGGGAGCAAACAGGACUAGAUACCCUGGUAGUCCACGCUGUAAACGAUGGAUACUCGGUAUCAGGGGAUUCGACCCCCUUGGUGCCUAAGCUAACGCAUUAAGUAUCCCGCCUGGGUAGUACGGCCGCA